rnacentral:ncRNA from 1 species
CGGCAUCCCCAUUACCUAUGGACACGGUGCCCCGGACUCAGAAAUAACUUUUUGAGUCUUCCGGGAAAGAUUUUCCGUGUCCAG